GUCUACUCGCCCUCACCUGGGCCCAUCCUCUCCGAUCCUUCCCUGCUGGAAGGAAAAAAGAAAUAGGAAAGAAAAAAAACCCUAGAUCCCCAAAUCUAUUUUUAACCCUAACAAGCAUCAAAAUCAAAAUUACAUACUCAAGAUUUUAUACUAGUAAUCAUAGUAAUGGCACAAGAUUCUGAAGUGGAACCUGCAUCAGAAACCGUAGAUCAAUCUC
rnacentral:misc_RNA from 1 species